UUGACAGCCUUGGAGACUGAAGCCCUGUAUUUAUCUACAGAACAGGUACAGCCUGGGCAGCAGCAGUGUUUAGCUUCCACACUUUCCCCACCACCGUGCCUCAGCCUUGACCUGGAAGAUCCACCUCUAGAGGUGAGAGGGGAACUCAGCCUCCCAUCCACUGAGAGCUUGGCCUCU
ensembl:misc_RNA